UUGGUGCUUGCACCGAGCGGAAGAGUUGCGAACGGGUGAGUAACGCGUAGGUAACCUGCCUCUUAGCGGGGGAUAACUAUUGGAAACGAUAGCUAAUACCGCAUAAAAGUCGGCAUUGCAUGAUGUUGACUUGAAAGGUGCAACUGCAUCACUAAGAGAUGGACCUGCGUUGUAUUAGCUAGUUGGUGAGGUAACGGCUCACCAAGGCGACGAUACAUAGCCGACCUGAGAGGGUGAUCGGCCACACUGGGACUGAGACACGGCCCAGACUCCUACGGGAGGCAGCAGUAGGGAAUCUUCGGCAAUGGACGGAAGUCUGACCGAGCAACGCCGCGUGAGUGAAGAAGGUUUUCGGAUCGUAAAGCUCUGUUGUAAGAGAAGAACGAGUGUGAGAGUGGAAAGUUCACACUGUGACGGUAACUUACCAGAAAGGGACGGCUAACUACGUGCCAGCAGCCGCGGUAAUACGUAGGUCCCGAGCGUUAUCCGGAUUUAUUGGGCGUAAAGCGAGCGCAGGCGGUUAGAUAAGUCUGAAGUUAAAGGCUGUGGCUUAACCAUAGUACGCUUUGGAAACUGUUUAACUUGAGUGCAGAAGGGGAGAGUGGAAUUCCAUGUGUAGCGGUG
rnacentral:rRNA from 1 species